rnacentral:misc_RNA from 1 species
GAUGAAGAACGCAGUGAAAUGCGAUAAGUAAUGUGAAUUGCAGAACUCAGUGAAUCAUCGAAUCUUUGAACGCACAUUGCGCCCGUCAGUAUUCUGGCGGGCAUGCCUGUUCGAGCGUCAUUACGCCCCUCAAGUCCCCUGUGGACUUGGUGUUGGGGAUCGGCGAGGCUGGUUUUCCAGCACAGCCGUCCCUUAAAUUAAUUGGCGGUCUCGCCGUGGCCCUCCUCUGCGCAGUAGUAAAACACUCGCAACAGGAGCCCGGCGCGGUCCACUGCCGUAAAACCCCCCAACUUUUUAUAGUUGACCUCGAAUCAGGUAGGACUACCCGCUGAACUUAAGCAUAUCAAUAAGCGGAGGA